GCCUGGGUGGUUCAGUCGGUUGAGCAGCUGACUUCAGCUCAGGUCAUGAUCUCGCGGUCUGUGAGUUCGAUCCCCACGUCGGGCU
rnacentral:tRNA from 1 species